rnacentral:rRNA from 1 species
AGUGAACGCUGGCGGUAGGCCUAACACAUGCAAGUCGAACGGCAGCACAGUAAGAGCUUGCUCUUACUGGUGGCGAGUGGCGGACGGGUGAGGAAUACAUCGGAAUCUACUUUUUCGUGGGGGAUAACGUAGGGAAACUUACGCUAAUACCGCAUACGACCUACGGGUGAAAGCAGGGGAUCUUCGGACCUUGCGCGAUUGAAUGAGCCGAUGUCGGAUUAGCUAGUUGGCGGGGUAAAGGCCCACCAAGGCGACGAUCCGUAGCUGGUCUGAGAGGAUGGUCAGCCACACUGGAACUGAGACACGGUCCAGACUCCUACGGGAGGCAGCAGUGGGGAAUAUUGGACAAUGGGCGCAAGCCUGAUCCAGCCAUACCGCGUGGGUGAAGAAGGCCUUCGGGUUGUAAAGCCCUUUUGUUGGGAAAGAAAAGCAGCAGGUUAAUACCCCGCUGUUCUGACGGUACCCAAAGAAUAAGCACCGGCUAACUUCGUG